rnacentral:lncRNA from 1 species
UUCAGUGUGCUAGUGGUGCUAGUUUCUUUUUUUCUUCACUCUUUGAUUUGAGAAAGUGCAUCUUUGAUAGUGGUGGCUUUAUUUAAAUUAUUGGACGUAUGCAAUUUAAUUACCAAAACACAAGAUUAAAUUCUUUAAGGACCAUGACCCAUCAAUAAUAAUCUUUUCAAAAGGAGGCCUCCAUUUAGGUUCAAUAAUGUGUGUACUUGUGUGUCAUUCAUUUAUAAUGGUAGCUAAAGUAAAGGGUGAUGUUUACUCGAGG